rnacentral:rRNA from 1 species
GACAGAGGGUGCAAACGUUGUUCGGAAUUACUGGGCGUAAAGCGCGUGUAGGCGGCUCGGCAAGUCGGGUGUGAAGGCCCUGGGCUUAACCUAGGAAGUGCACUCGAAACUGCCAAGCUUGAGUUCUGGAGAGGAAGGCGGAAUUCUCGGUGUAGAGGUGAAAUUCGUAGAUAUCGAGAGGAACACCGGUGGCGAAGGCGGCCUUACUGGACAGCAACUGGACGCUGAGACGCGAAAGCGUGGGGAGCAAACAGG